rfam:Lingula anatina scaffold487, whole genome shotgun sequence.
CAAACGGUCCUUUUCAGGACCAACCAAAUAUUCAUAGAAAAGCUA